rnacentral:tRNA from 1 species
GCGGAGGUGGCUCAGUGGUAGAGCACAUACUUGCAUGUUUGAAACCCCGGGUUCAAAUUCUGGCAUCAUCA